GAAAACGUUGCGUGACUCUCGUUACGAGCUCGGUUCUUCGACGUCGGAGCGUGGGCUGGUUCGUUUGUGUUCUCUUCUUUUGAAUCUCUGAGAAAAUUUGCUGGCAGAAAAGCGGAGAGAAUGUGGAAUAACCUAGAACUCGUUCCUUCAAAAGGGUCCACUACGUCGUUGAUGGCACCCAUGUAUUCUUAAUGGAUCCACUUAACAAGUCGAAUUACGAGCAGAUGAUGUUGACAGCAGCUCUAAAUUUGUGCAGAGGCCAUGUUGUUCUGUCAAUCAUUAUUGAAUGACAAAACGAUUUACAAGCUGUUACGAACGUGGAAUGCCCCGGCAUUUUAUCCAACGUGAACACCAACGACGUUGUGCUAAAAACAGUAACGAUGACUUGUCGUUCCAUCUUGUGAUUCCACGAGCGCACAUUCCCCGAUUACAAGAUUUCUGGUAUACAUGUGCUGCAUGCACUUGAGAUCACGUUUAGAACUAGAUGGGUCUAGUCUGUAUGAGGAAAGAGGCACUCUUCGUUGAAGGGGUUGUGGAACGCACGAAGGCUCGUGGAAGAUAACGCCGAGGCUGAUUUAAUUAACGAUAAGUAAUCACGAGGCCAGCGUUGCUUAAUUGUAAGGCCGGAGUACAUUAUUUUCCUAUCGCGGUGAAAAUUACACAUGUAGCUCUAUUAUGAUCAGAAUCUUGUGGCUCAUUUCGGUUAUUUUAUAAUUUUUAUUAAACAUGUGGAGCAAAAAGGAAAAGGAAAGAAAACGGGGAAAGUACUUUCGUGAAACCGAGUUACCGUGCUUCCAGGUUGUUUUACUCGACUUAAAUAUAUGCUUUAAAAAUAAGUAUACCUAACAUUCUGAAUUCUUUUACGUAAUAAUUGAUUAACUAGUGCCAUUAAUGAACUGAAUGUGAAAAGUUGUAGACUAUAUAUAUGUAGAUUUCUGUUGCAUAAACGGCUUGCUACCUUGUAAUUCGCAAAAUUUACAUAGAAAUUUUACUCGUUUUAUUAUCGAUUUGCUUAACGUCGUGCAGUAGGGAUUUAUUAGCAAUUAUGGUCAAACUAGCAAUUACACCUGUAAUUCGUGACUCAUAAAAUUUUACUAUUAAUUUUGGUUUCAUCAUACAGAAGACUUUGAAGAUGCAGACUUCUCUCUCUCUUAACGAUCAAAUUAAAAGUAUUUUAGUAAUAGUAAUUUAAUCACGCAAAUAAGCGCUGAAACUAGAAAAUAUCCCUUAAAGCGCGAUCUUUCUAUAUAAUAAAAUUAAAGGUGUUCUUCCAAAGAAAUAUUUUUCUUCCAUCAAGCAAUAGCUUCACCAUCCAUUAACACAUACCACCCGCAUAAAAGAAACAUUGCUCCGACACUUAAACACCGUUUACCAAGGCAAAAUUACCGAGCAAUUCUCGUUGUAUCGUUUACUUCGCACUGUCUCGCGAAAAGCACGGUAACUAACCUGGUAAUCGAAGAUCACGGUACGCGGAUCGGAAUCAUUUGACUGUAAUAACACGGCGGCCGGAUAACGCUGUUGUAUGGUCGUUAUCCAAAGAAACAGCUGUUUCGCCGGUCGGUCACGAGCGUUUGCCAAGAACUCGGAGAACGUUUCACGUUGAAAACUGGGGAAGUAGAGCGGCCGCCUGGGACCCCGGAAGACAAGGGCCAACGACGAGACGAGAAUCAUAAAACGCUUCUUUCUCUUCGUAGCCGUGAAUAACGCGUCCCUUGAAGUGGCACUCGACAAACGACGACGAAGAAAUAACAGUCUACUUGCUCGUUGCACGCUGAGAAAUAGCGGACAGCACGAAUCACACGAGCAACAGCGCCAAUUCGCUAUAAAGCGGACGGUUUAAUUGCAAGAAACGCGGAAAUCGAUUGAAAGGUCUCGUUUACAAUUUAUCGCGAUCAAGCGAAAACAAAUCGUAGCAAGGAACAUCUAUUGAGUUUAUCGCAGCGUGUGGCAGCGCGUUGCGACCGAUUUCGUACGUUACGUUUUACAGAACAGUUGCAUUGUUCUUGCGUGACUUGCGACCAUGUAAAAAGUGGAAAUCUUACGAGCAGCCAGUUUGUUCGUUCUCCUUUUGCUGGGCUUCCUGAACGAAACUUUCGAAUUAAUUCAUCCCAUGCCUCUCGUCAACGAGUGAAAUGGAAACUGUUAACGGUUUUAUCGAGUUUUUUUCUCAUGCAGACCAUGAUGUAACGUGGUAAAUCAUUUCUUAUCUGGCACGACUACCUUAAUAGGCCAUUUUAAAUUGAAAGAAGUUGAUAAGUAUUAUGUACUCGCUACAAAAUCUUCUUUAUUUCAAUGACUCGUGGUUUCUUUAACUGAUAUUACUGGACUUAGAAGAAACUUUUAAUUACAAAAAGUUGGAAGAUGGUAAUCACGACCGGGAAGAAUAAUUUUUACUCCAUCGUAGGGGCCAAAUUAACUCGGGAUAAAGGAAAUUUUAUAUAUAAUCGAAAUCGAAUCAACUCGGCAAUAUAUCUUUGAAAUCUCGUUCAGAUUUGUCAAAUUAUUUGAAUUCAAAUGAUUUAACUAAUGAGAAGAGGUAUAGAAACUCGAGAAGAUGUUUCAAGUCAAACAAACAAGAGAUUCAUAUUGGUACAGUGCUCUCAAGUUGCUUGGAAGCAUGUCAAUUGAAAUCUGAUCCAGGUUCAAAGAGUUAAAUUAUCUUCUCCAAAUAUUAUUCUAACAUUUAAUUCAUUUCAAACAAGAAUUUCUUAUACCUAUAAUAGUAGAAAUAUCUAGACACGCUAUGGACGAAAAACACGCCUCAUAAGCUAUUUCGAAGUAAAAGGGGUGGUGUCGGAAAAAUUAUGAGCGUCCCUGAAACAAACGACUUAUUGGCCGCCGCAAAGAACGCGGCGUAGCCUUUGUUCGAGCGUAGAACGGUGUCUGGAACUGCGUGGUAUCGUCGUCAACUCGUCCAUGGAUAAAUUCCAAGACGACGUCGAGGGUGUCUGUAACGAAGGGUCGGCGGAAGAUUUAUACGCAACCUUCCUCCCAUAUGCGUUUAGUUGAAGUAUAGGAUUAUGAUGUUUCCAAGUAACCACGCAUGCCCUACGCACUACGCAGUGACACGUGUGGAACGGUGCCUUUUUUAUUGCCUGUUUCUACAACCAUUUUAAAGUACGAACAGUCGAAAGUUUCCUGGCAAUAGAACACGAUUGACGAAGAGUCAAUCAUGAUCGUCGUAAAGUUUUCUUUAUUCGAAAAUGAGCUGGGAUAGAAAGAAGAAUAACGUCUUCAUUUUUAUAUUUAGGUAAGUGCAUCGUGACUUGCAUAGAAUUAAUGAAUUAGAAAUUAGGACGGAUAUUGGAAUUAUAUGAGUUUAAAGUUAGGAAGGAAGUGCUGGAAACAUAAUCGUAUUUAUUAUAUUUUAAUACUAUCGUUUAAGAUCAUCCGAAUACUUGAUUAUCGAAUACCGAUUUCAUUAUUUAUUAUUAGUAGAAAAUUGGCGUUCAUAAAUGGCAAAUCUCGUAGCACAAUUUUGUCUGAAUAAUUCCUUAUCCACAAGCUAAUUAAUUUUCAAAC